GAUGAAGAACGCAGCGAAAUGCGAUAAGUAAUGUGAAUUGCAGAAUUCAGUGAAUCAUCGAAUCUUUGAACGCACAUUGCGCCCUCUGGUAUUCCGGAGGGCAUGCCUGUUCGAGCGUCAUUAUAACCACUCAAGCUCUCGCUUGGUAUUGGGGUUCGCGGUUCCGCGGCCCCUAAAAUCAGUGGCGGUGCCUGUCGGCUCUACGCGUAGUAAUACUCCUCGCGAUUGAGUCCGGUAGGUCUACUUGCCAGCAACCCCCAAUUUUUACAGGUUGACCUCGGAUCAGGUAGGGAUACCCGCUGAACUUAAGCAUAUCAAUAAGCGGAGGA
rnacentral:misc_RNA from 1 species